rnacentral:rRNA from 1 species
AGAGUUUGAUCCUGGCUCAGAUUGAACGCUAGCGGGAUGCUUUACACAUGCAAGUCGAACGGCAGCACGAGGAGCUUGCUCCUUGGGGGGGAGAGGGGAACGGGUGAGUAAUAUAUCGGAACAUGCCCAGUAGCGGGGGAUAACUACUCGAAAGAGUGGGUAAUACCGCAUACGUCCUACGGGAGAAAGCGGGGGACCUUCGGGCCUUGCGCUAUUGGAGUGGCCGAUAUCGGAUUAGCUAGUUGGUGGGGUAAAGGCCUACCAAGGCGACGAUCCGUAGCUGGUUUGAGAGGACGACCAGCCACACUGGGACUGAGACACGGCCCAGACUCCUACGGGAGGCAGCAGUGGGGAAUUUUGGACAAUGGGGGAAACCCUGAUCCAGCCAUCCCGCGUGUGCGAUGAAGGCCUUCGGGUUGUAAAGCACUUUUGUCAGGAAAGAAAUCGCUCGGGAUAAUACCCCGAGUGGAUGACGGUACCUGAAGAAUAAGCACCGGCUAACUACGUGCCAGCAGCCGCGGUAAUACGUAGGGUGCAAGCGUUAAUCGGAAUUACUGGGCGUAAAGCGUGCGCAGGCGGUUCGGAAAGAAAGAUGUGAAAUCCCAGGGCUUAACCUUGGAACUGCAUUUUUAACUACCGAGCUAGAGUGUGUCAGAGGGGGGUGGAAUUCCGCGUGUAGCAGUGAAAUGCGUAGAUAUGCGGAGGAACACCGAUGGCGAAGGCAGCCCCCUGGGAUAACACUGACGCUCAUGCACGAAAGCGUGGGGAGCAAAAAGGAUUAGAUACCCUGGUAGUCCACGCCCUA